CAGCCUCACUGCUGCUCCCUCCCUCCUCUCAGACUGACCAUCAGAUGGAAGACUACAUCCCCUUAUCUUAGCAGAGGGAUGGUGUGUUAGGUGAGAGCCAGCCUCACUGCUGCUCCCUCCUCUCAGACUGACCAUCAGAUGGAAGACUACAUCCCCUUAUCUUAGCAGAGGGAUGGUGUGUUAGGUGAGAGCCAGCCUCACUGCUGCUCCCUCCUCUCAGACUGACCAUCAGAUGGAAGACUACAUCCCCUUAUCUUAGCAGAGGGAUGGUGUGUUAGGUGAGAGCCAGCCUCACUGCUGCUCCCUCCCCUCAGAGUGACCAUCAGAUGGAAGACUACAUCCCCUUAUCUUAGCAGAGGGAUGGUGUGUUAGGUGAGAGCCAGCCUCACUGCUGCUCCCUCCCUCCCCUCAGACUGACCAUCAGAUGGAAGACCACAUCCCCUUAUCUUAGCAGAGGGAUGGUGUGUUAGGUGAGAGCCAGCCUCACUGCUGCUCCCUCCCUCCCCUCAGAGUGACCAUCAGAUGGAAGACUACAUCCCCUUAUCUUAGCAGAGGGAUGGUGUGUUAGGUGAGAGCCAGCCUCACUGCUGCUCCCUCCUCUCAGACUGACCAUCAGAUGGAAGACUACAUCCCCUUAUCUUAGCAGAGGGAUGGUGUGUUAGGUGAGAGCCAGCCUCACUGCUGCUCCCUCCUCUCAGACUGACCAUCAGAUGGAAGACUACAUCCCCUUAUCUUAGCAGAGGGAUGGUGUGUUAGGUGAGAGCCAGCCUCACUGCUGCUCCCUCCUCUCAGACUGACCAUCAGAUGGAAGACUACAUCCCCUUAUCUUAGCAGAGGGAUGGUGUGUUAGGUGAGAGCCAGCCUCACUGCUGCUCCCUCCUCUCAGACUGACCAUCAGAUGGAAGACUACAUCCCCUUAUCUUAGCAGAGGGAUGGUGUGUUAGGUGAGAGCCAGCCUAACUGCUGCUCCCUCCCCUCAGAGUGACCAU